GGUUGCGAUCAUACCAGCACUAAUGCACCGGAUCCCAUCAGAACUCCGCAGUUAAGCGUGCUUCGGCGAGAGUAGUACUAGGAUGGGUGACCCCCCGGGUAGUCCUCGUGUUGCAACCC
rnacentral:rRNA from 1 species